rfam:Myotis brandtii contig281444, whole genome shotgun sequence.
CCCCUUUUAAAAAAGCACUCAUUGGGCCUUUUGCCAAUGACCCACUGAGCCGUCAAAAAAGGGCAAAGUAAAAACACUGCUUUUGGGUGAAGUGGCAGCAUGUUGUGUUGUUUUGCUUCAAUCAGUGGUGUGACAAAG